rnacentral:rRNA from 1 species
AUUGAACGCUGGCGGCAGGCCUAACACAUGCAAGUCGAGCGGAUGAGUGGAGCUUGCUCCAUGAUUCAGCGGCGGACGGGUGAGCAAUGCCUAGGAAUCUGCCUGGUAGUGGGGGACAACGUUUCGAAAGGAACGCUAAUACCGCAUACGUCCUACGGGAGAAAGCAGGGGACCUUCGGGCCUUGCGCUAUCAGAUGAGCCUAGGUCGGAUUAGCUAGUAGGUGAGGUAAUGGCUCACCUAGGCGACGAUCCGUAACUGGUCUGAGAGGAUGAUCAGUCACACUGGAACUGGGACACGGUCCAGACUCCUACGGGAGGAAGCAGUGGGGAAUAUUGGACAAUGGGCGAAAGCCUGAUCCAGCCAUGCCGCGUGUGUGAAGAAGGUCUUCGGAUUGUAAAGCACUUUAAGUUGGGAGGAAGGGCAGUAAGUUAAUACCUUGCUGUUUUGACGUUACCAACAGAAUAAGCACCGGCUAACUUCGUGCCAGCCGCCGCCGUAAUAC